CUGUAGCGUAACUGACGCUGAAGCUCGAAAGUGUGGGUAUCGAACAGGAUUAGAUACCCUGGUAGUCCACACGGUAAACGAUGGAUGCUCGCUGUGCGCCUUCAGAGGUGCGUGGCCAAGCGAAAGCAUUAAGCAUCCCACCUGGGGAGUACGCCGGCAACGGUGAAACUCAAAGGAAUUGACGGGGGCCCGCACAAGCGGAGGAACAUGUGGUUUAAUUCGAUGAUACGCGAGGAACCUUACCCGGGCUUGAACUGCCAGUGAACGAUUCAGAGAUGAUGAGGCCCUUCGGGGCGCUGGUGGAGGUGCUGCAUGGUUGUCGUCAGCUCGUGCCGUGAGGUGUCGGCUUAAGUGCCAUAACGAGCGCAACCCCUUUCGUCAGUUGCCAUCAGGUAAUGCUGGGCACUCUGGCGACACUGCCACCGUAAGGUGUGAGGAAGGUGGGGAUGACGUCAAAUCAGCACGGCCUUUACGUCCGGGGCUACACACGUGUUACAAUGGCGCAUACAGAGAGUUGGCUUAUGGCGACAUGAGUCUAAUCAAGAAAAUGCGUCGUAGUUCGGAUUGGGGUCUGCAACCCGACCCCAUGAAGCUGGAUUCG
rnacentral:rRNA from 1 species